AGGUCCAGCCUGCCCGGUGACAAGAUUUAACGGCCGCGGUACCCUAACCGUGCGAAGGUAGCAUAAUCACUUGUUCUUUAAAUGAGGACUCGUAUCAACGGCAUCACGAGGAUCCUACUGUCUCCCCCCUCUAAUCGGUGAAACUGAUCUCUCCGUGAAGAAGCGGAGAUGUACAUAUAAGACGAGAAGACCCCAUGGAGCUUUAAACCCAACAACACCCGCCCCCCUCCAAAUCCUAUUAUUUACCCGGUGACUGUUUGUUUGGUUUUAGGUUGGGGUGACCGCGGAGUAUAAGAUAUCCUCCAUGAAAAAAAGCUAACUGCCCUUAUUAGAGAAAGACACUUCCAAAAAAUAAUAAAUUAAUUUUAAAUGAUCCGACAUUCGAUCAACGAACCAAGUUACCCUGGGGAUAACAGCGCAAUCCGCCCCGAGAGCCCCUAUCGACAGGCGGGUUUACGACCUCGAUGUUGGAUCAGGGUAUCCCAGUGGUGCAGCAGCUACUAAAGGUUCGUUUGUUCAACGAUUAAAACCCUACGUGAUCUGA
rnacentral:rRNA from 1 species